GACGAACGCUGGCGGCGUGCUUAACACAUGCAAGUCGAACGAAGACCGAUUGAAGCUUGCUUCUUUCAAUCUUAGUGGCGAACGGGUGAGUAACACGUAAUCAACCUUCCCUUCUGGGGGGGACAACAGUAGGAAACGACUGCUUAUACCGCAUACCAACUUAUCUCUGCAUCGAGGAUAUAUUAAAGCUUUCCUCUACAUGUAAGCUCUCACUGGAGUUGGCGAGUGCGUCUGGUUAGCGAGCUGGAGGGGGAACGUCCCACCAAGGGGAUGGGCAGUAGACGGGCUGAGAGGGUGUACGGCCACAUUGGGAAUGAGACACGGCGCAGACUCCUACGGGAGGCAGCAGUGGGGAAUCUUCCGCAAUGGAGGAAAGUCUGACGGAGAGACGCCGCGCGAGUGAUGACGGGCUUCGGGUUGUAUAGCUCUGUUAUGCGGGAAGAAAGGACUUCCUGCGAAUAGUGAGAAGGAUUGACGGUACCGGAAUAGAAAGCCACGGCUAACUACGUG
rnacentral:rRNA from 1 species